UGGCAAAAUCGACACCAACAAACACAGAGGAAAAAGACAAAGAAAAGUCUAAAACUCAGCCUGUGAUCAUCGCGAAUGCCUGGACUGACAGCAAGGAACUCAAGAACACAAGACUAAAUACGCCAGUGAAGAAUGCAAGACAAAAUACUCCGGAGAAGAACACCCAAAAAGUGCCUAACAGCCGUGAGAGAAAAAGCCCCACAACUUCCCUUACGUCGGAGGACAGAAGGAGUAACAGUUAUUUUGAUGGAGUCGCUACAGAUACAGCUUCUGGGCGACGGUACCUGUACAACUCACUGACUGGACACAGAAAGUGGCUGAAACCCAACCAACCCAGCACGCUUUCGCCCAUUAUUAAUUAAUAGACGGCUUUAUCAAAUGUAAAAUAAUGUGUUUAGGAUAUGUACAAAUCCUAUGCAAUACCAACGUGUAAACAACAAAACUGUAUAUAUAAGAUGUACAAAAUAAUCUUAUAUUUUUAUAUUGCUGGCUUGAAAAAAGACAAUAAGGCCUGGAAAAUAGCCUUAGUAUUUUUAUCAUCCUGCUGUUAUUUCUAAAACACUGAUUCCAUGUUUGUGGUUUUUCAGACAUUUUUGUGACGUUCAUGAGCAAUAUAUGACAUUGUGAAACAAUGUUUUUUUUCACAUUUGCAACGGUUAGCCCUGGGGUUUUCGCUUUGGCCGACUAGUAUACUUUGUAACUUUGUAAACAAUACAGAAUGCUCAUAAAACUUACGCGAGAUAUGGAGGGGGGGUAUAACCGAACUAAAUAAAGAAUGAAGCGACAAUCAUUGUUGUUGUGUUUUUAAUUGUAUGGGCUCAUAUAAUGUUAACAAUAUCACGGUAUAUAAACAAUGUCAUGGUAAUAUUUAGCUUAUUACAUUGUAUUCUUGAUGCUGGCGUAUUUGAUGUGGAGUAUAUGACACACAAUGUGAUGUUUACACAAAUCUGACCUUCCAUGUGAUUGCCUGAUUGACGUUGUAGUAAAUGAUUUCUGUAAGGGAUGUCCUUGUAGCUCGACUAACUGGUAGCAGCAUCAUAGUUGACCUCCCAAUUCCAAUUCAUUGGUAACUGGGGGACUGGUUCAAAUCCCGGGAAGGGCAUUUUGGUUAGGGCUGCACUCUUUUUUCGGAGG